GACGAACGCUGGCGGCGUGCUUAACACAUGCAAGUCGUACGGUAAGGCCCUUUCUGGGGUACACGAGUGGCGAACGGGUGAGUAACACGUGAGUAACCUGCCCACAACUUUGGGAUAACGCUAGGAAACUGGUGCUAAUACUUGAUAUGUGCUCCUGCUGCAUGGUGGGGGUUGGAAAGCUCCGGCGGUUGUGGAUGGACUCGCGGCCCAUCAGCUUGUUGGUGGGGUAGUGGCAUACCAAGGCGGCGACGGGUAGCCGGCCUGAGAGGGUGACCGGCCACAGCGGGACUGAGAUACGGCCAAGACCCCGACGGGAGGGAGCAGUGGGGAAGAUUGAACAAGGGGCGCGAGCCGGAUGCAGAAACGCCGCGUGCGGGAUGACGGCCUUCGGGUUGUAAACCGCUUUCAGCAGGGACGAGGCUGUUUGUGACGGUACCUGCAGAAGAAGCACCGGCUAACUACGUG
rnacentral:rRNA from 1 species